rnacentral:tRNA from 1 species
GGCCUCGUGGCCUAAUGGCUAGGGCGCUAGAUUUCGGUGGUACGAAGUAUCUGAUUCUCUAGAGAUUGUCGGUUCGAGUCCGGCCGAGGUCG